GUGUGUGUGUGUGUGUGUGUGUGUGUGUAUCUCAUUUAUUUAUUUAAGUUAUUUUUCUUCUUCACGCAGAUAGUAAUUGACGAACACAACACACCACGUGGAGAGAAGCAAGGUGUGGAGUACCCAAGCCUCUCACAGUCCAUGCUAGUAGACUCACCCUGCAUGUGGAGAUCUCCCAAAAUGCACGGAGGUUAUUCCAGAGCUGCAGGACAGAGUACUUGAGGCCAUUGGUGAACAGAAAGCUGAGGUUGAACAAAGCCAAGAAUUGAUAGCUGCCCAAGGUGUAAGCAAGAUUCACAAUGAUGAGGUCAUUGUGACGUGUGCAAUGUGUCCACUGGUCUUGGCCUUCCUGACCAAGGCAGCCACACAAAGGAAAUUCCACGUUAUUGUUGCCGAACGUGCCCCUAAAUAUGAUGGUCACCCAGUGGCAAAAGCUUUAUGUACUGCUGGAAUUGAGACAACAUUAAUUCAAGACUCUGCAGUGUUCCCCAUCAUGUCACGUGUCAACAAGGUCAUCAAAGGUCAUCGUUGGCACCGAGACGGUGGUGACCAACGGAGGCAUUGAGACCUUUGUUGGUGCAGCCUCUCUUGCCUCACCACCAAAGUUUUAUUCUGUUCCACUGUAUGUGUGCACUCCCACAUACAAAUUUAGCUUGAUGGGCUGUGAAGAAAUAAGCCACCAAACCACCACUUCUAUUAUCCCAGAGGGAACAAAGUUUUGGCCGUCUGUAAAUACUGCGCUGACUCAGCUAGAUUACGUUCCUCCAGAAAAUGUCACCAGUUUGAUAACUAACAAUCGAGGUACUGCACCAUCCUACGUGUACCGGCAGCUUAGCGAACUGUACCGUCCCACUUCUUGUGUAACAAGAAGGUAACAGCUUUAAUCCUUGCAAAUAAGGAAUAAGAGAAAAGAGACACACCUGCCAUUUGUACUGUUAUGCUGUAGUGUUCUGUCAUUUUUUUCCUCUUUUAUCCUAGAACCAUUUUUGGUCAUUCAUGUUUCUAAAAAUUAUUAUACAAAAAUGUUGAGCUUAAUAUGUUUGGUGUAGUUUUUUGUAACAUGUGUUAUUGUUAAUGUGUGUGGUUCCCCUCAGGAAGAAUGUUGCAGUAUUAGCAGUAAUGUUACAGCCAAUGGAAGUGUCUGUAUUGUGGUUUGGUGGGAGGUUAAUUUGAUGUAUUUUUAGAGUUGUGCAGGAUAUUAUAGCAAGCCCUCAAAAUAAAGAAAAUAACUAUAGAAAACACUCCUUGUAUUGAAAACACCACUGCAGAGAAAUCUCUAAUGAAACAGGAAACCCUACAUUCAGUACUGUGUGGUUGUUGCAGUAACACUGAGCUAAAUGCCUUUUGGAUGGUUGUACACUAAAAAUAAUGUAAAAAUGCCUAUAAACAACUGUCCGUCCCUGCAUUAAAAACCUUUCAUCAUAAAA